UCCAGACACAGUGGCAUGUGCCUGUAGUCCCACUAUGAGGGAGGCUGAGGUGGGAGGAUUGCUUGAGCCCAGGAGCUCUGGGCUGUAGUGCGCUAUGCCGAUCAGGUGUCCAUGCUAAAUUUGGCAUCGAUAUCAUGACCUCCCGGGAGCGGAGGACCACCAGGUUGCCUAAGGAGGGGUGAACCGGCCCAGGUCGGAAACGGAGCAGGUCAAAACUCCGUGCUGAGCAGUAGUGGGAUGUCGCCUGUGAAUAGCCACUGCACUCCAGCCUAGGCAACAUAGCGAGACACCAUCUCA
rnacentral:SRP_RNA from 1 species